UGCGCUAACAGCACAUGAUUGAGCGUGGUUUUCUGUCAAAGCCUCAGUUUGUUGUUGCGUGAUUGUCACGGCCGCAUCUGUCAAGUCAUCUUCUGGUAUAUGCAGUGACGCUUUGCUUCCAUCAAUUUCUGCAUUGAAAAACACAAAGUGAGCAUUUCUAAACAUCGUAUGCCCCCUCCCCCUCGGACCUUGCGCAAAGUAACUUUUCACAAGAACUCACCAUCUUCACUGCCGUCAUAACAAGAAGACCUCGUUAUUCGUUCAACUUCAUUUUCCAGAGUUUCUGCUCGCAUCUGCUGGUACAAGAGCUUGCUGUGAAGCGUUUCCUUCUCUUUCUCUAGUUUUUGUAUAUGAAAUCUACCAUCGUCCCGCUCUUUUCUUAAAUGGUUAAUUUUACCAUCUCUUUCCGCUACGCUCGCUUUCAACUCUGUCACCAGUCGAGUGAGGCUGUCGAUGUUCGCGUCUUUACGGUGCACAGAAUCGCAGCUGUUCUCUGAUACCUGAGGAUCUAGAUCGUGUUUGGACUCCAUCUGGCAAAAGAACUGAAGUCCGUAGAACAAAUGAUGUAGAUGUAUUGGUUAUUUGUGGGGCACCACUCUCAAUGGGGCGUCUGGCGCGCUUGAAGGCAAAUUGGAAGAUGUUAUGAACUUUCCAAAGAAAAACACAAAUAAAACAUACAUAGUUCUCUUAGUAUUUAAGGAAAAUUCCUUAAUGAAAACGGCGCCUGGUAAUAUUGAUGGUGGAUAUUAGUAUUCUCCACAAAGCUUAAGAAAUUAAAGGACUUUUAAAAAGACUGCUUGUGCAUAGAAUAGUGUGGGUGGAUAACAGUUGAAAGGAAUGUACUAUGUCACAACCAAACAACAGGAUACGCUCGCUGAGACGUAGCUAAUAGCUGAGCCAAAAAUGCAGGAAUAUAAAGCUGUUACAUUCACUGUGCGACACUUCUUUCCUUAAUGCCCUUACCGUCGACAAAUGUGGCAAAUCGCAAGGGAGACAGACAUUAAGGCAGUCCACAAGCUGCAAAGUAGCGUCGCCGAUUGUAAAGUCUGGUACCUAGGACUCAUGUACCUGUUGUGUUAUAAUUAGAUGGCAGGUAAUAUGAAAGCUACCAUCUAAUCAACUCUCCUGAAAUUUUAUAUUUCCAGGGCUUUUUAAUUCCAAAUAUCGCUACGAAUAGACGGUCAGUGAUAUUGGGUAAAUGUAGCCAAACGAUUUGACAAUAUCAUUUGUCAAAUCUACGGUUUCUAUACUUUUUUGGGCUUUGGGAAUAUAGGGCAUCUGAUAUGGAUAACCCAUAUUCUGUGGUCCUUAAUUAAACGCUCAGAUGUUUUAAAAAUGGAAAAAUGCAAGGGAGAUGUCAAUUUUUACGUUGAUUUGUUUGGAAAUAUAUGCUUUUAAAAAUGCUUUUACUCCAUUAAAGACUAUAACGCAUCAAUGAAGGGGAAAUGUUAUGCUUGUCAUAUUGAUCUUGUUUGGACGCUUGCACUGUGAAUAGGCUAUUUGCGAGUUGUGUAACAUCAACGCCAGAUAUAAAGUCGACAAUUCCGACGUCACAGAGAUCAGUUUAACAGUUGUUUAUUGCUCUUGUCAAAUUUGAGCAGAACCUUUUACAGAUUUACAUAUGACAUUAUUCUAAAGGUGUUUCUUCACAUAAUUAUAAUACAAAUAACAGCAACUGCUAAUAUAUAGUUGUGGCAAAAACGAAGUGACAAUGGAACAUACUUCUCGUAAAAGUUUUCAAGCAAACAUUUUGACACUCUACAAAACCAAAGCAGGGUCACUACUUAAAAAAAAAAACUAAACAA